rnacentral:rRNA from 1 species
AGUGAACGCUGGCGGUAGGCCUAACACAUGCAAGUCGAACGGCAGCACAGUAAGAGCUUGCUCUUACGGGUGGCGAGUGGCGGACGGGUGAGGGAUACAUCGGAAUCUACUUUUUCGUGGGGGAUAACGUAGGGAAACUUACGCUAAUACCGCAUACGACCUACGGGUGAAAGCAGGGGAUCUUCGGACCUUGCGCGAUUGAAUGAGCCGAUGUCGGAUUAGCUAGUUGGCGGGGUAAGGGCCCACCAAGGCGACGAUCCGUAGCUGGUCUGAGAGGAUGAUCAGCCACACUGGAACUGAGACACGGUCCAGACUCCUACGGGAGGCAGCAGUGGGGAAUAUUGGACAAUGGGCGCAAGCCUGAUCCAGCCAUACCGCGUGGGUGAAGAAGGCCUUCGGGUUGUAAAGCCCUUUUGUUGGGAAAGAAAAGCAGCAGGUUAAUACCCCGCUGUUCUGACGGUACCCAAAGAAUAAGCACCGGCUAACUUCGUG